CGGAGGUACUCGAGUGGCGAACGGGUGAGUAACACGUGGGUGAUCUGCCCUGCACUCUGGGAUAAGCCUGGGAAACUGGGUCUAAUACCGGAUAGGACCAUGCUUUAGUGUGUGUGGUGGAAAGUUUUUUCGGUGUAGGAUGAGCCCGCGGCCUAUCAGCUUGUUGGUGGGGUAAUGGCCUACCAAGGCGGCGACGGGUAGCCGGACUGAUAGGUUGGUCGGCCCCAUUGGGACUGAGAUACGGCCCAG
rnacentral:rRNA from 1 species